rnacentral:rRNA from 1 species
GACGAACGCUGGCGGCGUGCUUAACACAUGCAAGUCGAACGGUCAAGCGCCUUGCUUUCUGGUGGGUGUGUAUGAGUGGCGAACGGGUGAGUACCACGUUAGUCACCUGCUCACUUCUGCUGGAUAACCGCAUGACAGAGUUGCUAAUACGUAAUAUUCUGGGUCUGUCGCAUGAUGGGUCUGGGACGGAUUUGGUUUCGGUUGUGGAUGGACUCGCGGCCCAUCAGCUUGUUGGUGGGGUGAUGGCCUACCAAGGCGAUGACGAGUAGCCGGCCUGAGAGGGUCGACGGCACUGGAGCGAAUGAGCCACCGAGACGCCUACGAGAGGCAGCAGCAGUGGAGCAUCUUGCACAGGCGGAGGCAGGAUGGUGCAGCGACGCGGCGUGAGUGAUGGUGGCCGGCGGGUAGUGAACUGCUUUCGGCAGUGAAGAAAGCCUGCCGUGAUUGUGCGUGGGUUGACGGUAGCUGGACAAGAAGCGACGGCUAACUACGUG